ACUAUUUCUUCCAAGCGCCUCCCAAGAUCAUCCUGCUGAGUGACACAUCCCUUAACUGUCCACCUCUGCUCCGACUGGCCACCCUUCUCAGUGACAAAGCUAGUGUCUGGAUGUUGUUGAUGUACUGCAAGGAGAAGCAGACUAAACUAGAUAGUGCCAGUGGAGUUCAGAGCAGCCACCAGUCUGGCACCAUUCUUUGACACCAAGUCCCCUGAAAAUCACCAUGACGCUGCCUCCCGAUGUUUGACAACAUCCCGAAAACAACUGGGACACAUGUGUUCACACUUUAUACAUCUAAACUAUAACGCUCUGUCAGAAUCGACCAAAUAGAAGAAAAUGCCAAUUAAACAGAGGUCCAUCCCAUGGACACUUCCUGCUGUGCAGCUUUCUCCACACCAUAGGAAUCAUUACUCUGACUUCACUGGCUGGAAUCUGGGGACACAGUGUUCACAGUCUCAUUCUGAAGUCCCUUGUUUGUCCCAAUUGUCUGUUAGGAUGUGGGGAUCUCGCUUGUUCCAUGAGAAAUGGCAGAGGCUUUUCCUAUAAAAGUAGCACACAAGGCGAUCGGCAUAAUCUAUGAAAUCAAUAUUCUGUCCACGUGAGGUUUGUAACUUUUAGCACCACUUUGAAUUAAUGAUGUUCAAUGAACAGCUUAAAACUUUAUAAUAAAUUGAAUUUUAAGACA
ensembl:lncRNA